GGCUCAGGACGAACGCUGGCGGCGUGCCUAAUACAUGCAAGUCGAGCGGACAGAAGGGAGCUUGCUCCCGGAUGUUAGCGGCGGACGGGUGAGUAACACGUGGGUAACCUGCCUGUAAGACUGGGAUAACUCCGGGAAACCGGAGCUAAUACCGGAUAGUUCCUUGAACCGCAUGGUUCAAGGAUGAAAGACGGUUUCGGCUGUCACUUACAGAUGGACCCGCGGCGCAUUAGCUAGUUGGUGGGGUAAUGGCUCACCAAGGCGACGAUGCGUAGCCGACCUGAGAGGGUGAUCGGCCACACUGGGACUGAGACACGGCCCAGACUCCUACGGGAGGCAGCAGUAGGGAAUCUUCCGCAAUGGACGAAAGUCUGACGGAGCAACGCCGCGUGAGUGAUGAAGGUUUUCGGAUCGUAAAGCUCUGUUGUUAGGGAAGAACAAGUGCGAGAGUAACUGCUCGCACCUUGACGGUACCUAACCAGAAAGCCACGGCUAACUACGUGCCAGCAGCCGCGGUAAUACGUAGGUGGCAAGCGUUGUCCGGAAUUAUUGGGCGUAAAGGGCUCGCAGGCGGUUUCUUAAGUCUGAUGUGAAAGCCCCCGGCUCAACCGGGGAGGGUCAUUGGAAACUGGGAAACUUGAGUGCAGAAGAGGAGAGUGGAAUUCCACGUGUAGCGGUGAAAUGCGUAGAGAUGUGGAGGAACACCAGUGGCGAAGGCGACUCUCUGGUCUGUAACUGACGCUGAGGAGCGAAAGCGUGGGGAGCGAACAGGAUUAGAUACCCUGGUAGUCCACGCCGUAAACGAUGAGUGCUAAGUGUUAGGGGGUUUCCGCCCCUUAGUGCUGCAGCUAACGCAUUAAGCACUCCGCCUGGGGAGUACGGUCGCAAGACUGAAACUCAAAGGAAUUGACGGGGGCCCGCACAAGCGGUGGAGCAUGUGGUUUAAUUCGAAGCAACGCGAAGAACCUUACCAGGUCUUGACAUCCUCUGACAACCCUAGAGAUAGGGCUUUCCCUUCGGGGACAGAGUGACAGGUGGUGCAUGGUUGUCGUCAGCUCGUGUCGUGAGAUGUUGGGUUAAGUCCCGCAACGAGCGCAACCCUUGAUCUUAGUUGCCAGCAUUUAGUUGGGCACUCUAAGGUGACUGCCGGUGACAAACCGGAGGAAGGUGGGGAUGACGUCAAAUCAUCAUGCCCCUUAUGACCUGGGCUACACACGUGCUACAAUGGACAGAACAAAGGGCUGCAAGACCGCAAGGUUUAGCCAAUCCCAUAAAUCUGUUCUCAGUUCGGAUCGCAGUCUGCAACUCGACUGCGUGAAGCUGGAAUCGCUAGUAAUCGCGGAUCAGCAUGCGCGGGGGAAAAACCUUUCCCGGGGCCUUGUACACACCGCCCGUCACACCACGAGAGUUUGCAACACCCGAAGUCGGUGAGGUAACCUUUAUGGAGCCAGCCGCCGAAGGUGGGGCAGAUGAUUGGGGUGAA
rnacentral:rRNA from 1 species